AGGUUGUGCCCUUGAGGCGUGGCUUCCGGAGCUAACGCGUUAAGUAGACCGCCUGGGGAGUACGGCCGCAAGGUUAAAACUCAAAUGAAUUGACGGGGGCCCGCACAAGCGGUGGAGCAUGUGGUUUAAUUCGAUGCAACGCGAAGAACCUUACCUGGUCUUGACAUCCACGGAAGUUUUCAGAGAUGAGAAUGUGCCUUCGGGAACCGUGAGACAGGUGCUGCAUGGCUGUCGUCAGCUCGUGUUGUGAAAUGUUGGGUUAAGUCCCGCAACGAGCGCAACCCUUAUCCUUUGUUGCCAGCGGUCCGGCCGGGAACUCAAAGGAGACUGCCAGUGAUAAACUGGAGGAAGGUGGGGAUGACGUCAAGUCAUCAUGGCCCUUAC
rnacentral:rRNA from 1 species